rnacentral:rRNA from 1 species
UACGGAGGGUGCAAGCGUUAAUCGGAAUUACUGGGCGUAAAGCGCACGCAGGUGGCUGAGUCAGUCGAUUGUGAAAGCCCUGGGCUUAACCUGGGAAUUGCAGUCGAUACUACUCAGCUAGAGUAUGGGAGAGGGUAGUGGAAUUCCCGGUGUAGCGGUGAAAUGCGUAGAUAUCGGGAGGAACAUCAGUGGCGAAGGCGGCUACCUGGCCCAAUACUGACACUCUGGUGCGACAGCGUGGGGAGCAAACAGG